AUUGCUUAUUUUCUUCUACACACUACUGCAUAACACAUGGAAGCGUUGCCAGAUUGAGUCCAUGUCUUCACACAGAGUGUCUCCUGUGACGACCAUGAAGGGCUGAUGAGGGGAGCUGAUGAAAUCUGUUCAAUCUAGAAGCCACUAGUUUUCUGCCCAGUGUGAUGUAUCAUGUUGUAAUGUGUGUACUGUAGGUCUAAUAUGACUAAAUCUUAAUUUAUUUCUCUUUCCGUUAGAUUCUGGCUGAAUUCUGUCGCUUAUCAAGCAAAAAUCUGAGUUGCAAUCAGAGUUCUUCAAAGAUCUCGACAAAUACACUCCUCGCUUCCUGGAGAAGUUCAAGACCCAGAGGGGGAAAGUGUCGGACAGAAACUUGAAUAUCUGCAACAAGUCACACCUGGGAGUACAGAUGUGACUGGGAGGUGAACAGCAGUCCUCCGUGGCUCUCCGUCAUCCUUGGAGAUGACAACGCAGACUUCUUCAAGAAUUUGAGGUUCAGGAGCAGCCAAUAUGAUGCAGGUGUGACGGCUGACGAUGGUGUGAGUUUAGGAUGGCGUGAAGCUUCGACUUGACCCUAUGGAAACAAAGCAGAUGCCACCAAAGGGUCCUGAUCGGGGACUCUGAUGACCUUCUGGACGUGUCCCACACCUCCAUUGGGACCCUGACGGUGCUGAAGACAUCGUGGCCUCCUCACUCGCUGGACCUGGAGUCUACAACUACUGCCAUCGUUUUGGGAGGAACAGUCGUGAUGGGUGACCGUGAUAAUCUUCCCCGUGCCGUGUGGCUACUCUUGGACUUAUUUACCCCUGAAUUUGGAGUAUCCUCAACGAGUGAGGAACACCUUCUGAAUUUAUUCAUAGAGUGCUUCUCACUUGGACCAAAAACCCUAAAAUACAAUCACUCAAAUAUCUACU